rnacentral:rRNA from 1 species
GACGGGGGAUGCAAGCGUUAAUCGGAAUUACUGGGCGUAAAGGGCGCGUAGGCGGUGGGUUACGUCUGCCGUGAAAUCCCCGGGCUCAACCUGGGAAUGGCGGUGGAAACGGGCUGACUGGAGUAUGGGAGAGGGUGAUGGAAUUCCAGGUGUAGCGGUGAAAUGCGUAGAGAUCUGGAGGAACACCAGUGGCGAAGGCGGUCACCUGGCCCAAUACUGACGCUGAGGCGCGAAAGCGUGGGGAGCAAACAGG